UACGGAGGGUGCAAGCGUUAAUCGGAAUUACUGGGCGUAAAGGGUGCGUAGGCGGUUGUUUAAGUCUGUUGUGAAAUCCCCGGGCUCAACCUGGGAAUGGCAAUGGAUACUGGGCAGCUAGAGUGUGUCAGAGGAUGGUGGAAUUCCCGGUGUAGCGGUGAAAUGCGUAGAGAUCGGGAGGAACAUCAGUGGCGAAGGCGGCCAUCUGGGACAACACUGACGCUGAGGAGCGAAAGCGUGGGGAGCGAACAGG
rnacentral:rRNA from 1 species